UUUUCGUAUGCUCUUCUCGUGAUAGUAAGUCUCACGAGUUCGUUAUAAAAGGCAGUUCCCCUGCACAUGCUCUCUUGCCUGCUGUCAUGCAACGUGUCUUUGCUCCUCCUUCACCUUCCGCCAUGAUUGUGAGGCUUCCCCAGCCAUGUGGAAACAUAUUCGCAGAGCACCCACUAGGUGCCAGUAAAUGUAUGAGAAGUCCUGUGGAAUAAGACUGAAGUUGUCCUUGCCUUCAAGCAACUUGCAAUUGCCUAAGAACACAGUUUAAAACCACAAAACUAAGCCUUGGAAAUCACAUGCUGUCAUUUCUGCGAUCGGUCAUAACCAGUCCUGAUUCCAUGUUAGAGGAGACUACAUAAGGACACAGGUACCAGAAGCUGGAUCCACUGACCUGGAAUGCCUGGACUGAAGCAGAUGAAAAAUUUGGAGUCUAGUGAAAAGAAGUGACUUGCUCAAAAUCACACAGCACAUGAAGAACAGAGCCUCUAUGAUGAAUUUCUUGACAGCUGAUAUAAGUCUUUUGAGGUACAGCCUGGCACAAAAAGGAUGAGAUUUGUGGGCAGAAUUUUGGAAGAAUAUCUCCCGAGAGAACAUUCAGGACAGAGCCCUACAUCUCCCCGAGAAGAGGUGAAAGAGACUGCUCCUAUCUGCUUCUGCAUCAAACUUCAGGCUCAAGACCUGUCCAGAAAAAAAAAUGUCUUCUUUCAGGGAUGAACUGCUGUCCUCAUCAGACGCCUUAUUUUGUUUAGAAUUCAAGCUCACUUGACAGGUUAUUGUGAAGAUUAAAUGAAUUAAUACAUGUGAAGCAACUGUAACAACUCUUGACAUGCGGUAAGCACUGUAAAUUGUGAACCAUUUAGGAAUGCCCCAUUGGAGAUAAUUUAGGUCACUCAGAAAUUGUAAAUUUUGAAAGGUGAAAGACCGUGUUGUUCAAGUUAGGGCUGAACUGGAACUGUAAAUCUGAUGGUUGAAUAAUAAACAGAGUAAUUA
rnacentral:lncRNA from 1 species